UACGAAGGGGGCGAGCGUUGUUCGGAUUUACUGGGCGUAAAGGGCGCGCAGGCGGUCAUUUUUUGUCGAGUGUGAAAGCCCCGGGCUUAACCUGGGAACUGCGCUCGAAACGGGAUGACUAGAGAUCGGGAGAGGAGAGUGGAAAUUCCCAGUGUAGAGGUGAAAUUCGUAGAUAUUCGGAAGAACACCAGUGGCGAAGGCGACACACUGGCCCGUUACUGACGCUGAGGCGCGAAAGCGUGGGGAGCAAACAGG
rnacentral:rRNA from 1 species